rnacentral:rRNA from 1 species
GGGACACGUGGUAUCCUGUCUGAAUAUGGGGGGACCAUCCUCCAAGGCUAAAUACUCCUGACUGACCGAUAGUGAACCAGUACCGUGAGGGAAAGGCGAAAAGAACCCCGGCGAGGGGAGUGAAAAAGAACCUGAAACCGUGUACGUACAAGCAGUGGGAGCACGCUUAGGCGUGUGACUGCGUACCUUUUGUAUAAUGGGUCAGCGACUUAUAUUCUGUAGCAAGGUUAACCGAAUAGGGGAGCCGAAGGGAAACCGAGUCUUAACUGGGCGUUAAGUUGCAGGGUAUAGACCCGAAACCCGGUGAUCUAGCCAUGGGCAGGUUGAAGGUUGGGUAACACUAACUGGAGGACCGAACCGACUAAUGUUGAAAAAUUAGCGGAUGACUUGUGGCUGGGGGUGAAAGGCCAAUCAAACCGGGAGAUAGCUGGUUCUCCCCGAAAGCUAUUUAGGUAGCGCCUCGUGAAUUCAUCUCCGGGGGUAGAGCACUGUUUCGGCAAGGGGGUCAUCCCGACUUACCAACCCGAUGCAAACUGCGAAUACCGGAGAAUGUUAUCACGGGAGACACACGGCGGGUGCUAACGUCCGUCGUGAAGAGGGAAACAACCCAGACCGCCAGCUAAGGUCCCAAAGUCAUGGUUAAGUGGGAAACGAUGUGGGAAGGCCCAGACAGCCAGGAUGUUGGCUUAGAAGCAGCCAUCAUUUAAAGAAAGCGUAAUAGCUCACUGGUCGAGUCGGCCUGCGCGGAAGAUGUAACGGGGCUAAACCAUGCACCGAAGCUGCGGCAGCGACGCUUAUGCGUUGUUGGGUAGGGGAGCGUUCUGUAAGCCUGUGAAGGUGUGCUGUGAGGCAUGCUGGAGGUAUCAGAAGUGCGAAUGCUGACAUAAGUAACGAUAAAGCGGGUGAAAAGCCCGCUCGCCGGAAGACCAAGGGUUCCUGUCCAACGUUAAUCGGGGCAGGGUGAGUCGACCCCUAAGGCGAGGCCGAAAGGCGUAGUCGAUGGGAAACAGGUUAAUAUUCCUGUACUUGGUGUUACUGCGAAGGGGGGACGGAGAAGGCUAUGUUGGCCGGGCGACGGUUGUCCCGGUUUAAGCGUGUAGGCUGGUUUUCCAGGCAAAUCCGGAAAAUCAAGGCUGAGGCGUGAUGACGAGGCACUACGGUGCUGAAGUAACAAAUGCCCUGCUUCCAGGAAAAGCCUCUAAGCAUCAGGUAACAUCAAAUCGUACCCCAAACCGACACAGGUGGUCAGGUAGAGAAUACCAAGGCGCUUGAGAGAACUCGGGUGAAGGAACUAGGCAAAAUGGUGCCGUAACUUCGGGAGAAGGCACGCUGAUAUGUAGGUGAAGUCCCUUGCGGAUGGAGCUGAAAUCAGUCGAAGAUACCAGCUGGCUGCAACUGUUUAUUAAAAACACAGCACUGUGCAAACACGAAAGUGGACGUAUACGGUGUGACGCCUGCCCGGUGCCGGAAGGUUAAUUGAUGGGGUCAGCGCAAGCGAAGCUCUUGAUCGAAGCCCCGGUAAACGGCGGCCGUAACUAUAACGGUCCUAAGGUAGCGAAAUUCCUUGUCGGGUAAGUUCCGACCUGCACGAAUGGCGUAAUGAUGGCCAGGCUGUCUCCACCCGAGACUCAGUGAAAUUGAACUCGCUGUGAAGAUGCAGUGUACCCGCGGCAAGACGGAAAGACCCCGUGAACCUUUACUAUAGCUUGACACUGAACAUUGAGCCUUGAUG